rnacentral:rRNA from 1 species
GAUGAACGCUGACAGAAUGCUUAACACAUGCAAGUCUUUGGCGAAGCUGUGCUUGCACAGCCUAGCCAAGGCGGACGGGUGAGUAACGCGUAAGGAACUUGCCCUGCAGUCAGGGAUAACAGACGGAAACGACUGAUAAGACCUGGUAAAGUCAGGCGGACUCAUGUCCAGCCUGAUGAAAAGAGAUGCUGCAGGAGAGCCUUGCGUCCUAUUAGCCUGUUGGUGGGGUAACGGCCCACCAAGGCGAUGAUAGGUAGCCGGCCUGAGAGGGUGGACGGCCACAAGGGGACUGAGAUACGGCCCUUACUCCUACGGGAGGCAGCAGUGGGGAAUAUUGGACAAUGGGGGCAACCCUGAUCCAGCAAUUCUGUGUGCACGAUGAAGGUUUUCGGAUUGUAAAGUGCUUUCAGCAGGGAAGAAAAAAAUGACGGUACCUGCAGAAGAAGCGACGGCUAAAUACGUG